GUCGCUUCUCGGCCUUUUGGCUAAAAUCAAAGUGUAGUAUCUGUUCUUUUCAGCUUUAUAUCUGGGACGCCCUUACACGGGGCAAGAUAUAAUGCUUAUUUAUGUGCCUUGGUAUGUGUUGCGAAGCUUGCUUCCUCCUCAUAAACCGAGGUUGUAUCAUAAACCGAGGUUCGCUGAAAACCUAAUUAA